GGAGAAAAGGCUUAGUCAGAAACAGAGGAAUCGUUGCAUGCAUUCGUCUCCAAGAAAGCGAGCUACGCGGUUUAAGUUCGCGCGGCCUUGUGUUGUGAAAACGCCAUCUGCCUCGUUAGUCAGAGAGAGCGAGAUUUGAUUCUCAAAGAAGGGACGGGACUAAGAGACACCAAGAACGUUUUCCAACGUACACUUUACCGUUCAAAACUUUCUAAAGAGGAUACCUAUCUAUUUUUCCUGUCAAUCUAAGUUCUGGAGGCAUAGAUGCAUCAUCUAUUCUCCGGUAAUGCAAUUCAAUUUCAAAAGUGCUAACAGUUACAAUUGUUGGAAAAAAGCGAACAAGUAGCGAAAAAAGAUCUAAAUAUUUUGAUCUGUUCAUCGAUAUUCUUGAUGAAACUUUGUUAUUGUGCUACCACUACAAUUAUUGCUACUCGAUGGAGAUAAGAAAAGGUCUUCAUUUCAGGAAAACGGGCAGACUGCUGUCAAAAUUUAUCUUGCUACUAUUACUCCAUGCAAUGAGUUUUGCUGAAGGAGCACCUAUUGCCAGUCACUACUACACGGAAUCAGUUGCAGAAGAUAGGACUUCCUACAUCCAUAGCUUUUUCAGGAAGAUGCAUAAGCUAUUUGCCCUAAUACAGUUCACUCUAGAACACAAUCUUGGCAUGUCAUGAAUGAUAAAAAUAAAUUAUUGUUGUUUAAAUCAAAGAGUAAUCUAGCACCUUACCGCACUGAAUAAGUUUUCUAAAUGUUUACCUCCAAUAAAUUCAUUUUGCACAAGAA